rnacentral:lncRNA from 14 species
UGGGUGCAGGCAGGGUACAGGCAGGGUUCCGGGUGCUGGGUGCCGUGUGCUGUGCAUCACGGGCAGCACCGUCCCCAGCUCCGCGCUCCGCACUGCUGUGGUGCUGCUGGCCCUGCCCAGCCUGGCCUGGCUCCUGGCACUGCUCUCGGUCAACAGUGAUGCUCUGCUCUUCCAUUACCUGUUCGCCAUCAACAACUGCCUCCAGGUGACACCGCACCCCCACCCCCGUGUCCCCAUAGCCCCCAUAGCCCCCCCAUCACUCCUGUGUUCCCGAUACCCCUCGCUCCCCCAUGCCCCUGUAGUCCCUGUGCCCCCACAUAAUCCGUGGGCCCCCCAUCCUGCCUGGUCCCCAGUGUACCCCAUGGUGCCCCAUUACCACCUGGGCCCCUUAUAAUCCCAUAGUCUAUGUGCUCCCCUAUACCUCCUGUGCUCCAUUACUCCCCUAUACCCCAUAGCACACCCAUACCCCAUGGGCCCCCCCAUGCCCCCUGUGCUCCAUUACUCCCCUAUACCCCAUAGCACCCCCAUACCCCAUGGCCCCCCAUGCCCUCUGUGGCCCCAUAACCCCUGUGCCCAUCCCAUACCCUGCACAUAGCCCCCCUACACCCCCUGUUCCACACCAUAUCCCCAUAGAUUCCCAUUACCCCUGUGCCCCCCAUUACCCCCAUAUGCCCCCAUAAACCCUGUGCCCCCCCAAUGAGAUCCCUCCCCCCGUUUAUGGUACCAAUGUGGGGCGCAUAAUGGGUACAGGGUGUGCCCCCCCCCGAUGCCCACGUGCCCCCAUCUCCACCGCAGGGCCCCCUUGUGUUCCUAUUCUGUGUGGUGCUGAGCAAGGAGGUGCGGAGGAGCCUGCGCCUGAGCUGCUCCCGCCGGCGUGGGCCCGAUCCUGCUCUGGCCACCAAAUCCACGCUCACCGCGGGUUAUGGUGGGGACAGCACCUACGUGGCCGGGAGGCUCUAUCCGGUACCCGGGGGGGGCUCCAGCGGGUCCCUGCACAGCACUGCCAAGAGCCACCACAGCUACAUCCCCUUCGUGUGCCGGUACCGCGAGGGGUGACGGGUGGGGGUGGCAAUGGUACGGUAUUGGCGUGAUGGGGUGGCAAUGGUACAGUAUUGGGGUGGUGGGGUCUCAAUGGCACGGU